AAUAUAGUUCAUCCUUACAAAAUAGUAGUGUCUACUUAACUAAUCUGUACUAAGAUCUGGUGGCUUUGGUAGUUUCAUCAGUAUCUUGCACUUCUUAUAUAUAAGGUCUCUUUAGGAACUUCUAAAUUUUUAUUUUAUCAUUAGUGGUGUGGUGUGUCUGGUCAAAUUGGUAUUACUAAUAGCUUUCUUUCAGUUUUCUCUUCAAUUACAACUUGUGGAAUUUGAGGAGAAUCUGUGCACCAGCAUCCGACUCCUUGAUGUUGCUCUGAUCAUAUUGUGUAAAUAUAUUUGUAAUAAAGCAAUCGCCCGAUGGUGUACAUGUUAGAAAUAACAAGAUGUAAUCAUCAAGUGUGAUAGAUGGCAACAUCAUGAUGGGAUGGUAUGUACUGUUGUGCUCAUCAAUAGGGGGAGCUCAAGGUCAUGGCGGGGCUUCGAUUUUUCUUGUACAAAAGAGAGACAGAGGAGGAUCCAGGGAGGAGAGGUAGGAGAAGAAGGACGGGGAAGUAAGAAGGGUGCAGUAGGGGUGAGUGUGCUUCCGCCUGCCACGCCCAAGGCUUGAUCUGCCGCCGCCUCUCCUCUACCCAUGUUGUCUGUGACACGUCAGAUCCCCAGCUGCCGGCACUUCUCCUCUGCCCAUGGGCCAUGGCUGUUCUGAUGCAUCAAAUCCACUGCAGAUCGAUUUGCUGUAACAUUGGCUGGGUGUUCUCUUCUCGACUCUACCAACACUCUGGAGUUACAAGCAAUUACAUCAGGAGCUCGGUCAAAAAUCACCUAAGAAAAAUAUGCCGUUCUUCUCUACAAGGGUUGCAUGUGGAAUUUGAGGAGAAUUUGUGCACCAGCAUCCGACUCCUUGAUGUUGCUCUGAUCAUAUUGUGUAAAUAUAUUUCUAAUAAAGCAAUCGCCCGAUGGUGUACAUGUUAGAAAUAACAAGAUGUAAUCAUCAAGUGUGAGCGAUGGCAACAUCAUGAUGGGAUGGUAUGUACUGUUGUGCUCAUCAAUAGAGUUAGAUCACUUUUC